rnacentral:rRNA from 1 species
GACGAACGCUGGCGGCGUGCUUAACACAUGCAAGUCGAACGGAAAGGCCCUGCUUUUGUGGGGUGCUCGAGUGGCGAACGGGUGAGUAACACGUGAGUAACCUGCCCUUGACUUUGGGAUAACUUCAGGAAACUGGGGCUAAUACCGGAUAGGAGCUCCUACUGCAUGGUGGGGGUUGGAAAGUUUCGGCGGUUGGGGAUGGACUCGCGGCUUAUCAGCUUGUUGGUGGGGUAGUGGCUUACCAAGGCUUUGACGGGUAGCCGGCCUGAGAGGGUGACCGGCCACAUUGGGACUGAGAUACGGCCCAGACUCCUACGGGAGGCAGCAGUGGGGAAUAUUGCACAAUGGGCGGAAGCCUGAUGCAGCAACGCCGCGUGCGGGAUGACGGCCUUCGGGUUGUAAACCGCUUUCGCCUGUGACGAAGCGUGAGUGACGGUGAUGGGUAAAGAAGCACCGGCUAACUACGUG